CAGCCGCCACGGUAAUACGAAGGGGGCUAGCGUUGCUCGGAAUUACUGGGCGUAAAGGGAGCGUAGGCGGACAUUUAAGUCAGGGGUGAAAUCCCAGAGCUCAACUCUGGAACUGCCUUUGAUACUGGGUAUCUUGAGUAUGGAAGAGGUGAGUGGAAUUCCGAGUGUAGAGGUGAAAUUCGUAGAUAUUCGGAGGAACACCAGUGGCGAAGGCGGCUCACUGGUCCAUUACUGACGCUGAGGUGCGAAAGCGUGGGGAGCAAACAGGAUUAGAUACCCCGGUAGUCCCUGUCUCUUAUAA
rnacentral:rRNA from 1 species